AGCAGCCGCGGUAAUUCCAGCUCCAAUAGCGUAUAUUAAAGUUGUUGCAGUUAAAAAGCUCGUAGUUGAAUUUCGGAAUCUGUCCGUCGGUCGGGCUUCACUGUCCGUACUGGUGUGGUGGGUUCUUACCUUCUGAAUAACCAGCAUGCCAUUCAUUUGGUGCGCUGGGGAAGCAGGACUAUUACCUUGAAAAAUUAGAGUGCUCAAAGCAGGCUAGUGCCUGAAUACAUUAGCAUGGAAUAAUAAAAUAGGACGGCAUGGUUCUAUUUUGUUGGUUUCUAGGAUCACCGUAAUGAUUAAUAGGGAUAGUUGGGGGCAUUAGUAUUCAAUUGUCAGAGGUGAAAUUCUUGGAUUUAUUGAAGACUAACUUCUGCGAAAGCAUUUGCCAAGGAUGUUUUCAUUAAUCAAGAACGAAAGUUAGGGGAUCGAAGACGAUCAGAUACCGUCGUAGUCUUAACAUAAACUAUGCCGACUAGGGAUCGGACGAUGUUAAUUUUUAAUGUACUCGUUCGGUCCG
rnacentral:misc_RNA from 1 species